GAGAUGACUUUAUACACACCCUGCCCUCAAGCUCUAAUCUCACAGCCGGGCAGGGUCACCCAGGGCAGGCCUCAUCUCCUAACGGGUUCUGUCUCACAGGGGAGGCUCUGGAGCAGGCGACUUGCUGGUUGUGAGACCUGGGGCAAGUUACAGAAGCUCUUCUGGCCUGUUUCUUCAACUGCAAAAUAAGGACAAUUCUAUCUCUAACUCACAGGGCAUUUGUGAGGAUUAGUAAUUGUAAGCACAGUAACACAGCAAAUGCUCAGCUAAUUACCAGCCGGAAUACUCUGGAGAAGGCGCUGUUAACUGGAGUCCCUGGGUAGGCUUUGGGGGUCCAUAAACUCCUUGAACUUGCCACAGGAUUUGUGUAGAUAGGUGUCUUUCUGGAGCAAGAGUGCAUAACUUUCCUUUUUUCUUUUCUUUUUUUUUUUUUUUGGAGACGAGUCUCACUCUAUUGCCAAGGCUGGGAAUGCAAUGGUGCAAUCCGUGGCUCAUGCCUGUAAUCUCAGCACUUUGGGAGGCUGAGGCAGCAGGAUCCACUGAAGCCAGGAAUUCAAGAACAGCCUGCACAAAGAAGCAAGACCCCAUUUCUACAAAAAAUACAAAAACAUUAGGCAGGAGUGGUGGUGUGUGCCUGUAGUUCAGCUAACUCAGGAGGUUGAAGUAGGAGGAUCACUUGAGCAC
rnacentral:lncRNA from 1 species